AAGACCUCUGUGGAUGGGCAUCCGAUGGAUAGGGUUGGAGGUGGGACAAUUUUGUAAAAAACCGUCCGCAAUUAGCCUUGCUAAUCUCGUUUUGUUAUUGCAAAUCACCUCCGCAGCAACCCCGUCCAGCGCCCUGGGGCGCGUCGUCCGCUUCGCUUCGUUUCGACUCCGCCUCCCGUGAUUCAAGACGACGACGACGACGCCCAGUGAAUCGUCAGACGCCGCCGGGGUCGCGGGCCUAACACGAUGCCGCCGACGCCCGCUGCCCCUUCUUUUCUCGUCGCGCCGUCGUCCCUUUGCGGGUCUCCCGUCGCCCGCCCGCUCGAGAGCUGGCGGCGCCGCCCUUCUCCGGCGAUGGGCCCCCGGCACCGUCGCGUGAGCGGUGGCGAUGGAGUGUAGCAAGGCCGGGACUGUGAAUGGUGGUCAAGAGGAGGUGGCCAUUGGCCGAGUGGAGAUGCCGCCGGCGCCGAGCUGGACAGAGACGACAGUGCAGAUAUUCAGAUAACCAAGUGCUUUCUUCAGAU
rnacentral:sRNA from 1 species